UAAAAAAGGGGUCCCUUCUUCAUUUUCACUUUGGGUUUUCUUAGAAAACUCUUGAUUUAUGAAAAUCUAACCGUCCAAACUCAAAUCCGAUUUCGGAAACAUGAUCUAAGAAACCCGAUCUACUUCUCUGCCGAUCGUUUUGAGGCUUUGUGUUAUUUGGAGCUUUCAAAGAUUCCCCAAACACCGGGUAUUAUUUCGGUAAAUUUUUGGUGACGCAUUACAAGGUGGUGCCUAGGAAACCUAGUGCUUAAAUCCGCGUAGCCAAGAAAAGGAGCUAAGAAACUACACCAAGGAGUGUGGUUGUUCAUGUAUUGCAUGUUGUGUCCAAUUAAUAUAACGGCUGAUGGAUAGCCAUCAACAAGCUGAUGUAGUAGCAAGAGGAAGGAAGGCUAGUCAGUGGAUCCAGGGGGUUCACAGUGACCCAAGUUACUGAUACAGAUCUGGAGAACGAAGGCAUGGACCCAUAUGCCAGUUUUGAUGGUUUUUGAAACCAUCAACGAACUAUCAUGUGCUAGCUUAGAAAUUACUAGUUAAGCUUAUAUGUGUUUUGCUUUAUGUCAUGUAAAUAUUUAUAACAAUGUCAUGUUCGACAUGUUUUAUGUUAUAUGCUUAUGUGCCGCCUGUGGCACUAAUUUUGAUGCACCUAGUGUGCAUAUAGGAUGUAAAGAUAAACCUAAGUAACUUUUAAUAAAUGU